rnacentral:tRNA from 3 species
GUGGAUGUAGCUCAGUUGGCUAGAGCGCGGGAUUGUGGCUCCCGAGGCCGUGGGUUCAAGCCCCAUCAUCCACC